rnacentral:rRNA from 1 species
UACGGGGGGGGCAAGCGUUGUUCGGAAUUACUGGGCGUAAAGGGCGCGUAGGCGGUCUGCUAAGCGUGUGGUGAAAGCUCGGGGCUCAACCCCGAGUCGGCCGUGCGAACUGGUGGACUGGAGCAUGUCAGAGGCAGGCGGAAUUGACGGUGUAGCGGUGAAAUGCAUAGAUAUCGUCAAGAACACCGAUAGCGAAGGCAGCUUACUAAGCUGUAACUGACGCUGAGGCACGAAAGUGUGGGGAUCAAACAGG